rnacentral:rRNA from 1 species
AUUGAACGCUGGCGGCAGGCUUAACACAUGCAAGUCGAGCGGAGUGAUGGUGCUUGCACUAUCACUUAGCGGCGGACGGGUGAGUAAUGCUUAGGAAUCUGCCUAUUAGUGGGGGACAACAUCUCGAAAGGGAUGCUAAUACCGCAUACGUCCUACGGGAGAAAGCAGGGGAUCACUUGUGACCUUGCGCUAAUAGAUGAGCCUAAGUCGGAUUAGCUAGUUGGUGGGGUAAAGGCCUACCAAGGCGACGAUCUGUAGCGGGUCUGAGAGGAUGAUCCGCCACACUGGGACUGAGACACGGCCCAGACCCCUACGGGAGGAAGCAGUGGGGAAUAUUGGACAAUGGGGGGAACCCUGAUCCAGCCAUGCCGCGUGUGAAGAAGGCCUUAUGGUUGUAAAGCACUUUAAGCGAGGAGGAGGCUCUUUUGGUUAAUACCCAGGAUGAGUGGACGUUACUCGCAGAAUAAGCACCGGCUAACUCUGUGCCAGCCGCCGCCCGUAA